GACGAACGCUGGCGGCGUGCUUAACACAUGCAAGUCGAACGGUGAAGCGCCUUCCUUUUUGGUGGGUGUGGAUGAGUGGCGAACGGGUGAGUAACACGUGAGUAACCUGCCCCCUUCUUCUGGAUAACCGCAUGAAAGUGUGGCUAAUACGGGAUAUUCUGGGUCUGCCGCAUGAUGGGUCUGGGAAAGAUAUUGUUUCGGUGGGGGAUGGGCUCGCGGCCUAUCAGCUUGUUGGUGGGGUGAUGGCCUACCAAGGCGGUGACGGGUAGCCGGCCUGAGAGGGUGGACGGUCACACUGGGACUGAGACACGGCCCAGACUCCUACGGGAGGCAGCAGUGGGGAAUAUUGCACAAUGGGCGCAAGCCUGAUGCAGCGACGCCGCGUGAGGGAUGGAGGCCUGCGGGUUGUGAACCUCUUUCGCCAGUGAAGCAGGCCUGCCUCGUUUGUGGGUGGGUUGACGGUAGCUGGAGAAGAAGCGCCGGCUAACUACGUG
rnacentral:rRNA from 1 species